UCAGAGUGCCACCUUCACGCUUUACGGUAGCAUUCAGCUCUGAGCUGAAACAGUGGCUUGUUGCAGAGUCAUCUGCAGCCUUCUCUAGAUAAAAGAGUAGCUGGUGUUUCAACCCUUAGCGUUGUAGCAUUCUACACGUUUUUCAUUAGCCAUGCUACUGGCCUGGUUGUAAGGGUGACAAUAGGACGACGGGAGUGAAAUGAGGGCUGAUUCCAUUUUGCUGCUUUGAUUUCAGGGUCUCGGUAUGGUGCAUGCUGGUUCACUGACACUCACUUGACCACAGCUGCAGCAGCCUUGGGCCAGCCCCUGAAUCAACAUCCCCCCCUCCAUCGACCUGAUGAUUUGUUUGUUUGUUUGUGUAUUUGGAGCCAUUGAGCAGCAGACUUUUGAAAUAAUUAUAUUUUUUUAAACUGUCUUAUUGCACAACAAGCUAAAUGUUGGUUUAAAUUCAUUUGAACAGGUACAUUGAGGGUUAGUUUGCUUAUUUAAAACUUUCGAAUGCCUUGGGUCAUGAGUAGCUGUUAGGCUGAACCAAAACAGGUGCAAAGCGAUCAUGUGAAAUCAAUCAGGUCAAAACCUUACUUGCACUCUAAAGCG
ensembl:lncRNA